UUUAUACUGUCAAGGACUUUUUAGUGUCCUGCCAGCCAAAGGGCUGGAGGGGCACCAGUCACUGGGAGGGACACAGCCAGGACAGCUGACCCGAACUAGCCACAGAGAUCUCUGCUGUUGCUGCAGGUAUGACAUGGAAGAUUCGUCCUUGAAACCUGCUUUGUCAAUCCACAGAUGAAGAAGGCUAGAAGGGAGGAGAGGAUCAAGAAGAUCAGCACAUCCCUUCACGCGAGCUGCAGUGGACUGGUUUGACUGUCUGAGUCCCCAGCUCUGAUCCCAACAACAACAGGAAAGGAAGAAAAGAGUGAGAUCAUAGAUAUAAGCAUUAUGUGCUAUAUUUCUGAUUAAAUAAUGACAAGAAAUAAA